UACGGAGGGUGCAAGCGUUAUCCGGAUUCACUGGGUUUAAAGGGUGCGUAGGUGGGCAGGUAAGUCAGUGGUGAAAUCUCCGGGCUUAACCCGGAAACUGCCGUUGAUACUAUCUGUCUUGAAUAUAGUGGAGGUGAGCGGAAUAUGUCAUGUAGCGGUGAAAUGCUUAGAUAUGACAUAGAACAUCGAUUGCGAAGGCAGCUCGCUACGCUAUUAUUGACACUGAGGAGCGAAAGCGUGGGGAGCGAACAGG
rnacentral:rRNA from 1 species